rnacentral:lncRNA from 1 species
UUGAAAUAAACCAGAAGGAAUCUGCACAAGUACUUCACAUUCAUAUUAUAAAUUAUGUUCAUCAAACAUUUACAAGGUUACAAUAUAUGCAAUUCACUAAUUACGUGCGAAGAAUUACACCAUAAUUUAGUAUCUGCAGUUUCAAGACGUCCAAGUUGUACAGAAUGGAACAAGCACAAAGAGUAAAGCUUGUAAGGUCUUCUAGGUGAGCUCAGAGCAUAUGGUUACGGCAAGGUAUCUUAACCCGUCUUCAGGAACAUUUCCAACCUGGACAGUAAGAGAAAAAUUAAAAAAUACAUGUAUAAUAAAACAUUAUCUGCAUUACAUUGAUUUACAACACUCAAAAGAGUCUAUGGAGUGCACUAUUCCUGUUUUAUAAGAGAUACGUCUACAACAUAAAGAGAAUUUCUAAUCAAAUUUCCUUUCAAGGCAUCAACUGAAUGUUCAAUUUAAUAAGAAAAUAAAAAAUGUCUGCAGUUUCAUACAUUGACACGUAAAUUAACCACAUCUAGUUCACCACAAUUACAUCAUAUGAUUACCUAUGAUAUAAAUUUUAGUUUCCUGUAUGUGAAGAUUCCAUAGAACACCGUCCAGAAAUCUGCACAUAAGACAUGAUAGGAAGUGAUUAAAGGAAGUGACAUCCACAACUUGUAUGAAUUUUUGACAUCAUAGGAUCUUGUAUUUUGGUAUAAACACACAAAGAAUGUAGUUCAAGAUAUGAAAUAGUUUCAUCCCAUGGAAAACAGCAAAAUUCAAACAUUUUUCUAGCACGAACAUGACAGUAGUAUAGAAACCAAAAUGUUUGGUGUUAUCUUGAAGUGGUUUACAACAUUCUUACUAGUCUUUUGGGCUCCCAGUCACAUGUGCCAAUGUUCUUAUCCAAUGCACUAGCACUUUCUGCAAAAAAAUAGAACAAGUUAGAUGUCACAAAGAUGGUGCUGUUUCCAGUCUUACAUAGUCAAUCAGUUGGCAAACAUAUAUGCAGAACACCUAUUUAAUCACAAAUUGAGUGGCCCGAGACAUGCAACAAAAUAGACGCGUAGUUGACAGAACACCUGUUUCUACUAGUAUUGAUUUUAGACUUCCAGUGUGUAUCUAUAGCAAGAUUCCUGUUGAGUACAAAAUAUUGAACAGUAAUGCCAGGUCUAACCACAUUACACAUGGAAAGGUACAUUUCUUCUAAACAAUUCAAGCCGGUUAUAACUUAAUUACUCUAUGAAAGAUGAUGCAGGACCAUAGAGAUAAUCGAGGAUGUGAUUCCAAUUUGCUUGUCUUCAGGAAAAAGGAGUAUUAGAUCAAGGAAAAAGAAGUGUUGGACUAUGCGUAGGAAUACAAGUGAAGGCAACACCUAUGCUAUUCAUAAAUAAUUCUACGACUGGCAGACCAAGACACUGUUUCAAGUACUGACCCAAUAACAAAAGACUAAGCUUUAGAAUACACAGGACAUGCAAAAGCUUAGUUUCUGGACAUGCGCACACUGGACAUGUAAAAGGUUCCACUAAUUGUAUGCAUAAAAAGGCUAAGCACAUUCAGGACAGGCAUAGUUCGUAUCUUUACUGCAAUUUCAUUUGCAUGAAGCAUAUAGGAGACAAAAUUCUAAAUAAAGUUUCAAUGUUCUGAAAUAGCAACAAGCAUGUAUCCGAAAGAAAAAUACCAAAUCCAAGACUUAACUACCAAGAUACACUGUUGGAAUUUAUUACUGGGCUUUUGGCCCAAAGCCCAACUAAAAUUCUGAAAUUCUCUUUGCCCAUUCAUGCACACAUGUGAGUGAAGUGAGUGAGGCUAAAGUUUAGUCCCACCUCAUAAGUUGAGAGAGAGUUGCACCUCUUUAUAAGGUGAGCUCUUCUAGCACUUGUAUGAGCAUGAGAAGAGGAGACGUACACGCGCGCUUCUCCUCCUCGCUCGCCACGACGUGCCGCGGGUUGCGGGAUUGAGCCGAGCCGAGGACAGAGCUAUGCGCGUUGUCUAUAUUUUUACUGCUCGGGAAAAAUUAUUGAGUCAUUAAUUAAUAAUUAACGGACGCGUUAAUUACUGAACCGUUUCCGAUUAUUUUGGAUCGUGACGACUUAGACGUGGGGUUUACUCCCACGACCUACCCGGCCCGCACUAUAUAGUCAGGCAGACGUCUACCCUAGCUGCCGCUGCUUCGUAUGGUUUCUCACCAUCGUUCCAGAUCAUUGAUCCGCCAAGUAAGUCUUCCCCAUCCCUCCUUUCGGCGUGCACCGGGAGAAGGACAGCAGGCCUCCGGAACCCCGCCUCUCGUGAUCCUGUACGGGAGAGGGGCGAUCAGGUUUUUGGGGAGCGCACUCGCGCGACUGCUGGCAGCAACGACUUCACGAACGACGACUUCUUCCCCGACCUCGGCAACCUCAUCCUCGACGACAUGGGCGACAAUGUCAACGCCGGCGGUGCUGUUCCCGAUGCAACGUAUGUGAUUCUAUCCUUCUUGUUCGAGAUCGCGGUAGAAUUCAUGUUUCUAGUAUGUGCCCUAGAUGUGAUAUGUUCAUCUACUAUGCUAGUUCACAUGAUUAGUUUAAUCUCUGCUAUUGCUGUAAUGAUAUAUCUUCCGUUUAUUCGGAUUAAAUCUUGUACUAAUUUGCUCAUAUUUCCAACAAUCUAAAUACCUGAUUAUAGGCAAUUUACUACGAGUGGUUUUGCUGCGCAUCUGAAGCCGCCUGCCUUUAAGGGGGUGCAAUAUAAGAGGUGGCGCACGAGAGCCGUCUACUGGUUUCAGACCAUGGGCUGCUAUGACGCCACCAAGGGCAAGCCUGAGGGCGAUCUUAAUCCAGCACAGCUGGAAGCUUUUGAGAAGAUCGACACUCUCUUUAAAGGAGCUCUUCUGAGUGUUCUUGAUAAUUUCAUUCUGGAUUCGUAUAUGUCGUUUGACAAUGGCAAGGACAUGUGGGUUGCGCUCGAGGCCAAGUUUGGUGCCUCAGACGCCCGGAGCGAGUUGUACGUCAUGGAGCGAUUCUAUGACUACAAGAUGACUAAUGAGCACUCUGUUGUAUAGCAGGCUCAUGAGAUACAGUCGCUCGCAAAAGAACUUGAGUACUUCAAGUGUGUGUUGCCGGACAAAUUUGUUGCCGGGGGCAUCAUCACCAAGCUUCCACCUUCGUGGAACAAUUUUACUACUUCCCUGAAACACAAGAGACAGGAGUUUUCCGUUGUGGAUCUCAUUGGUACUCUUGAUGUUGAAGAGAAGGCGAGAGCAGAGGACACACGUGCUCGAGUUGCUGAGGGAGCUUCUAGUGCCCACAUGGUACAGAAGAAGAACUUCCAGCCCAACAAGUUCAAAAACAAUAAGAACAAAACUCAGGGCAAAGGCAAGUUUGAUACAAAGAACAAGCCGUCACAUUCUACCAACUUCAAGAAAAAUUAUCACAAGAAGGGGAAGGUACUUUGCCAUGUCUGCGGUGAUCCUAAUCACCGGGCUCCGAAGUGUCCUAACCGCUUUGAGGAGCGUGAACAUCAGAAGAGUGGCAAGUGCGCUAAUGUUGUCAUCGGUGAUACUGAUAUGAAGGAAUCUGGGUACGGUAUUCUUCCUACCAUCUUUUUAGUAUUUUAAUCUCCUGAUUGGUUAAUUGACACCUGUGCCAAUGUACAUGUUUGUGCUGACGCCUCUAUGUUUUCUUCUUACCAGGUCACAGGGACUUCUCCCGUGCUGAUGGGGAACGGGUCACAUCCCAUCGUUCGAGGUCUUGGUACGGUCGAUCUGAAAUUUACUUCGGGGAAGACCGUGCGUCUGAAGAACGUUCAUCAUGUGUCGUUCAUCAAUAAAAAUCUCGUUAGCGGUUCUCGUUUAUGUCGAGAUGGUUUUAUGUUGGUUUUCGAGUCCAAUAAAGUUGUAAUUUCUAAGUAUGGACAAUUUGUUGGAAAAGGCUAUGAGAGCGGAGGCUUGUUCCGCCUGUCUUUGUCAGAUAUUUGCACUAAAGUUAUUAACAAUGUUUGCCACAAUAAUGAGUCUGAUAUUUGGCAUUCACGGCUUUGUCACAUUAACUUUGGUUGCAUGACGCAGCUAGCCAAUAUGAAUUUAAUUCCGAAAAUCUCUACUGUCAAGGGCUCCAAGUGCCAAGUAUGUGUGCAAGCUAAGCAACCUCGCAAGUCCCAUAAGACUGCAGAGGCGAGAGACUUGCGCCACUAGAGCUUAUAUAUUUUGAUCUUUGUGAGAUGAAUGGCGUGUUGACAAAAGGUGGAAAGAUAUACUUCAUGACGUUGAUUGAUGACUCCACUAGAUAUUGUUAUGUGUAUCUUCUGAAAUCAAAAGAUGAGGCUGUAAUUUUUUUUCAAAAACUAUAAAGCUGAGGCAAAGAACCAACUUCAUCGAAAAAUUAAAUGGCUUAGGUCCGAUCGUGGUCGAGAGUAGUUUUCCAAUGAAUUUGAUCUGUUUUGUGCAAAACAUGGUAUAAUCCAUGGGAGGACGCCUCCCUACUCACCUCAGUCAAAUGGGUAGGCAAAAGAGAGAACCGAACUCUAACUGAUAUGGUUAACACCAUGUUAGACACAUCGGGUCUUUCCAAGGAAUGGUGGGGGGAGGCGCUAAUGACUGCGUCUCAUGUCCAAAACUGAGUUCCCACAAAGCAUAAGAACAUGACUCCAUUUGAGUAAUGGUAAAAUAAAAAAUUAAAACUCUCUUACCUACGUACUUGGGGUUGUUUGGCGAAAGUCAAUAUACCAAUUCCCAAGAAGCGCAAGCUUGGACCAAAAACCGUGAAUUGUGUUCUUCUGGGCUAUGCUUUUCAUAGCGUUGGCUAUAGAUUUUUUAUAAUAAAAUCUAAGGUAUUCGACAUGCAUGUUGGUACGAUUAUGGAGUCGAAUGAUGCGACUUUCUUUGAGGACAUAUUUCCUAUGAAGGAUAUGUCGAGUUCAUCAAACCAGGAGAUACCUACUCCAUCUAGUGAGGAAUUCGUUGUAAUUCCCGAACCCACCAUUGCGAUUGAACACGUUGAGAAUCCUACUGAGGGUGACAAUGGAACUCCUGUGAGGAGUAAGAGACAGAGGACUGCAAAGUCCUUUGGCGAUGAUUUCAUUGUUUACCUUGUGGAUGACACACCCAAGACUAUUUCAGAAGCCUAUGCAUCUCCUGAUGCUGACUACUGGAAGGAAGCUGUUCGUAGCGAGAUGGAUUCCAUCUUAGCUAACGGAACCUGGGAGAUCACCGACCGUCCUUAUGGGUGCAAACCAGUAGGAUGUAAGUGGGUGUUCAAGAAGAAGCUUAGACCUGAUGGUACGAUUGAAAAGUACAAGGCACGGCUUGUGGCUAAGGGUUAGACCUGGAAAGAAGGUGAAGACUUCUUUGAUACUUGCUCACCCGUGGCUAGACUGACCACAAUUCGGUUGCUACUAUCACUGGCUGCCUCACAUGGUCUUCUCGUUCAUCAAAUGGACGUUAAGACGACUUUCCUCAAUGGAGAGUUGAAGGAGGAAAUUUACAUGGAUCAGCCAGAUGGUUUUGUAGUACCUGGUCAGGAAGGAAAGACACGCAAGUUAUUAAAGUCUUUAUAUGGCCUUAAACAAGCUCCUAAGGAGUGGCAUGAGAAGUUCGAAAGAACAUAAACUACUGUCGGCUUUGUAGUAAACAAUGGUGACAAGUGUGUGUACUAUCGCCAUGGUGGUUUGAAGGAGUUAUUCUUUGUCUGUAUGUCGACGACAGAUUGAUCUUUGGAACCAAACUUGAUUUAAUCAAGAAGGUUAAGGGUUUCUUAUUUCGCUGUUUUGAGACGAAGGAUCUAGGAGUAGCUGAUGUUAUCUUAAACAUCAAGUUGUUGAGAGAUGAGAAUGGUGGGAUCACACUGCUUCAGUCUCACUAUGUGGAAAAGGUCUUGAGUCGUUUUGGGUAUAGCGACUGCACGCCUUCUCCAACUCCAUAUGAUGCUAGUGUCUCGCUUCGAAAGAAUCGACGGAUUGCUAGAGAUCAACUGAGGUAUUCUGAUAUUAUUGGCUCGCUUAUGUAUUUGGCGAGUGCCACGAGGCCUGACAUUUCUUUUGCUGUGAGCAAGCUGAGUCGGUUUGUGUCAAAACCGGGAGAUGAUCAUUGACAUGCGCUUGAGAGAGUUAUGCGCUAUUUGAAAGGCACCGCGAGUUAUGGGAUUCACUACACCGGGUAUCCAAGAGUACUGGAGGGUUAUAGUGACUCAAACUGGAUAUCUGAUGCUGAUGAGAUUAAGGCCACAAGUGGUUAUGUUUUUACACUUGGUGGUGGCGCUGUUUCUUGGAAGUCUUGCAAGCAGACCAUCUUAACGAGGUCAACUAUGGAAGCAGAACUCACAGCAUUAGACACUGCCAUUGUUGAAGCAGAGUGGCUUCCUGAGCUCUUGAUGGACUUACCUAUGGUUGAAAAACCAAUACCCCCUAUCCUGAUGAACUGUGAUAAUCAAACUGUGAUAGUCAAGAUAAAAAGUUCUAAGGACAAUAUAAAGUCCUCAAGGCAUGUGAAGAGGAGACUAAAAUCUGUCAGAAAAUUGAGGAACUCCGGAGUUAUUACGUUGGAUUAUAUCCAAACGUCGAAAAAUUGGCAGAUCCCUUCAAAAAGGGUCUAUCACGUAAUGUGAUAGAUAAUGCAUCGAUGGAGAUGGGUCUAAGACCCACCGCAUGAGUUGUCCAUAGUGGUAACCCACACUAUGUGAUUGGAGAUCCCAUGGAGUAGAAGCGGGAGACAAGCUGUUGGUCAGCUGGGAGGAGAGUAUCCCUAUAUUAACUAUCCCACUCCGUGAAGGUGCAAUACUCUCCUGAUCUGCAUGGCAGGUUGAUACUUAUCUUAAUGUGUUCCAAGUGGCUUAUUCGGGUAAGCAGAGAUGUUGUCCUGCAGAACAUCUUCUGAGGAACACACCUAUAUGAAUUUGACUGUUAACGUCGCAAUCCGUGAGAAUUGGGUGUUCUCUAAUAAAUUCAUGAAAAGGCCCUGGAGUACGAUGUAUACGCUCCACUCGCAGCGGUAGCCCAGUAUCGGUCAAGAACUUGUGUGAAACUAGUCUCACAGAAAACCUUUAGUUCAAGGCAUAGUUCACUAUUCAAGCUGUGAUCUAGUGUAUCAUAAAUCUCUAAGUGGAAGUUCAACUUCACAGUCUUCAUUAAGCACCGUUAUAUAAACAAUGUUUUGGAACCAAAUGGUGAGACGUGCCAAUGAGACUUUGUGGGGGAUUGUUGGAAUUUGCUAGUGGGCUUUUGGCCAAAGCCCAACUAAAAUUCUGAAAUUCUCUUGGCCCAUUUAUGCACACAUGUGAGUGUUGUGAGUGAGGCUAAAGUUUAGUCCCACCUCAUAAGUUGAGAGAGAGUUGCACCUUUUUAUAAGGUGAGCUCUUCUAUCACUUGUAUGAGCAUGAGAAGAAAAGACCUACACGCGCGCUCCUCCUCCACGCUCGCCUCGCCGCGCCAUGCCUCGCCACGACGCGUCGCGCCGCAGGUUGCGGGGUUGAGCCGAGCCAAGGACAGAGCUAUGCACGUUGUCUAUAUUUUUGAUGCUCGGGAAAAAAUAAUGAGCCAUUAAUUAAUAAUUAACGGACGCGUUAAUUACUGAAACGUUUCCGAUUCUUUUGGAUCGUGACGACUCGGACGUGGGGUUUACUCCCACGACCCACCCGGCCCACACUAUAUAGUUAGUUAGACGUCUACCCUAGCCGCCGCCGCUUCGUAUGGUUUCUCACCACCGUUCCAGAUCAUUGCGCCGCCAAGCAAGUCUUCUCCAUCCCUCAUUUCGGCGUGCACCGGGAGAAGGGACAGUAGGCCUCCGGAACCCCGGCUCUCGUGAUCCUGUACGGGAGAUGGGCGAUCAGGUUUUUGGGGAGCGCACUCACGCGACUGCUGGCAGCAACGACUUUGCGAAUGACGACUUCUUCCCCGACCUCAGCAACCUCAUCCUCGACGACAUGGGCGACAAUGUUAACGCCGGCGGUGCUGUUCGCGCUGCACUAUAUGUGAUUCUAUCCCUUUUGUUCGAGAUCGCGGUCAAAUUCAUGUUUCUAGUCCUGAUUUUCCAGCGCGUCCCGAUCGAACUAUCAUCCCGCGAUCCACACACUUGCCUUUUACUAGGUACGCACUUGCCUUUUACCAGCUGAUUGGGCCCGUACUUUUUACCAAGUGUGGAGAAAAAGAAAGGCGGGGUUAGGAGGAUCGAAGCCACAACCUCUUGGAGAACGAGAAUACGGUGCAACAACCUAGCCAACUUAUCCACAAUUAGUUGGUCUUAAUAGUAUCCAGAUCUUUUUUAUAUCAUCAGUUAGGUAUUUUUGUACCACAUUGGAUGUGACGUGAGAAAAAGUUUUUUUCAACCAAAUUCUCUUGCCCUUGUUUGAACAUUUUAUCUCCCUUUUUCUAUUUAGAAGACAUUGAACUUUUUAUAGAUUAAAAGUCUCGUCGUGACGGUUGGAGUAACCAUUUUGUAUGUCCCGGUAAUUUUCUCAGUAAACAUCAUGAUAACUUAAUGUACUAUAAACGUGAUAUCUUACAUAGCACAACUGUGGUAAUUUUUACCUGAAAAAAAGUCAUUAAAACAUAUCAACAUGAGCACAAGCUUGGUAUGUUCUGUGUGAGCAUGGUAAUUUACGCAUCAACACCUGAUAAUUUACGUCCAAACACUCUGGUAACUUUGUUGGGGGUGGGGGUUGUAGUUAUACACCCGCGAUAACUUCUAUAGUAAUAGUAUGAUAAUUUAUGAAUCAUAGUUCUGAUAACUUAUGUGCAACACGUUGAUAACUUUUGACCCAGGGAAUUAAAGUUGAAGAAAUAUGUGCCUGGUCAUUUUUGUGUGAACUACAUGGUAAAUUACGCAACCGCGGACCCGAUGAUAACUUGUGAACAAAGGCGGUGAUAAUUUUGAUCCCGAUAACUCAUGUGUAAAUAACACAACUGGGUUGAUAACUUACUUAGUCCAGGUGUGAUAACUUUUGACCGGGACGGCCGACUUGUUGAAAAACACACUUCAGUAACUUGUGUGUGUUGAAUAUCAUGAUACCAUACACACAACAGAGUUGAUAACUUAGUUAGCCCAGGCGCUGUCGAAACAUACCAAUAUGAGAUCUAGUUUCGAAUGUCUCAUCGCAAUAAAUCCUUUUAUGUGAAAAUAAUUUUUUAUCGGAACGACGGUUUGAGUUACAAAAUAUUUUCAAGUUUUUUGAAUUUUGGAUGGAAUCUUCCUUGUGAUUAGCACUUUUCGGCCUUUAGGGCAUGCAUGAAUGUGCAUGUGGGGAGGAGAUCGAAGAAAACUAUUUUUUUAUGUCUCGAUAUAUUCUGUGUAAACAACAUGAUAACUUAUGCUCAACUGGCAUGAUAACUUGCGAAGCACAUGCGUGGUAACUUUUUACCUGAGAAAAAAGACGUCGGAACAUACCAACAUGGGAUCUAAUUUUAAAGAUCUCGUUGCGACAAAUCUUUUAUGUGAAAACAGUUUUUCGAUCAAAGCGACGAUUUGAACUAGAAAACAUUUUGACAUUUUAAAAUAGGGAGAUUCUAGGAUGACACUGGCAUUUUGUCAUCUAGUGCACAUUGGGAGAAAGGUUGAAAGACCAUUUUUUAUGUCCAAAAAUUUCUAUGAAAACAACUUGGUAACUUAAGUGUCGCAGACGUGAUAACUUGCGUAGUACAUGCCCGGUAACUUUUGACCCAAAAAGAGAUCACUGAAACAUAUCGACAUGGGAUCUAGUUUCGAAGGUCUCGUCGCGACGAAUUUUUUAUGUGAAACCAGUUUUUCAAUCCGACAGAUAGUUUGAGCUACAAAACAUUUUAAAUUUUUUGUUUUGUAAAGAAUCUGCUAACAUCAUCACUUUUAUUUUUUCUGCAUGCAUGUAAUUAAGUAAACCUGAUGGACAUCGCACAUAGUAAAGAAAACAACAUCGAAGCUAGUAGUAUCUGCAUGUGUGCAUGCAUGCGUUCGAAUAUGUCGCUUAAAUUCAGUACGGUAGGAUAUUAGCACAGUCUUUAGUUUAAUCUCUGCUAUUGCUGUCAUGAUCUAUCUUCUGUUUAUUUGGAUCAAAUCUCGUAGUAAUUUGCUCAUAUUUUCAACAUAAACUGCUCCAUACCCACGCACGCUAAUAUGCAAUGGUAUCUAUCUAUUAUAUACUAAAAGGAAAAUAGGGAUCAAGAAUAGAGGAUUUACUAGAAAUUCUCACAUUUAUCAGACACAUCGGACCAUUAGUUUGGUGGACCCUCCAUUAAUGAGUAAAUUACGACCAUUAGAAAGGCGGACCCACACCAAUUUUGAUGUAUGACGUCCUGGACUUGAAAUCUUGAUUAGUUCGGUAGAUAAAAAGAGAUCAUUUUUAAUUCUGCUUGCGUGACAACAAAACAGCGGCGUCCCGUGGUUACCCAGGAAAUAAAAGAGCAGCGUCCCGUAGAAAAAAGCAAUGGCAACUACGUUGAUUCAAAAAGAAAAAAAAAACAGCGGCAAGGGCAUGGUCAACACGCCAUAUCGUGGGCCUUGUAGGCGGUGAACUUCGAUCGAAAAGGAAAAGAAAAGAGGAAGCGGGAAAAUAUCACAUGAUACCAGUCUUUACAUGAUACCAUGACACCAACUUAUAAAAUUCAAAUCUAAAUAUGUCAAAAAAUUCUGAAAAAAUUCAUAGAUGUUCACAACACAUAUGUUGACAACUCCUAAAAAAUUCAGAUUGAAAUUCGAAAUACACAAAGAGAAACAAAAAAGACAAAUCCAUCAUGAAUAGUGUCAAAAGAAGACAAAAGCAAAAAUGUUACUAUUCACAUCUGAAUUUGUCAUUUCUGUUUCUCCUUGUAUAUUUCGAAUUUUGACCGGAAUUUUUUAUGAGUUGUCGACAUAUGUGCUGUGAACAUCUAUGAAUUUUUUAAGAAUUUUUUGAUAUGUUUAAAUUUGAAUUUUUCAAGUUGGUAUCAUGGUAUCAUGUAAAGACUGGUAUCACCUGAUACUUUCCCAACAGGAAGCAACGGCUCGCUCAAUACGGCAUGCCGUGGGCGUAGUAGGCGGGCACUCAUCACGGCUCAUAGUUGCAUACUCCUGUUGAGGUCCGACCCCACUGAAGAACGCAUGAUAAUCACAUGAUGUGCCGAUGUGCAGCAUGAACACACUCCAGACCCUCGAUGCCCAAGAUAAAGAAACACUAGCAGAAGAAAUCAGAAUUCGAGGUAGAAUAAGCAUAAUAUCUCCUUUAAAUAUCAAUCAUCGAGGUCAACUAUCACAAAAUGGAUGUCAGUUCCAUUAUUACUUUUAUGAAGCAAAUUAGGCAGUCCUUUCUAUAUGAGAACAAUCUCAUUCUGAUAUCCACGAAUUCAGAAAAUCACCCAAAGAUAUGACUUACCAUAUUUUUCUCCCAAUAGGAACAAUUC